rnacentral:rRNA from 1 species
UACGUAGGGUGCAAGCGGUAAUCGGAAUUACUGGGCGUAAAGCGUGCGCAGGCGGUUCGGAAAGAGAGGUGUGAAAUCCCAGGGCUUAACCUUGGAACUGCACUUCUAACUACCGGGCUAGAGUACGUCAGAGGGGGGUAGAAUUCCACGUGUAGCAGUGAAAUGCGUAGAGAUGUGGAGGAAUACCGAUGGCGAAGGCAGCCCCCUGGGAUGAUACUGACGCUCAUGCACGAAAGCGUGGGGAGCAAACAGG